rnacentral:rRNA from 1 species
GGGCCUGCCCAGUGAUAUUUCAACGGCCGCGGUACUCUGACCGUGCAAAGGUAGCAUAAUCAUUUGCCCUAUAAUUAAGGGCUAGUAUGAACGGUCUAACAAGAAUGGAACUGUCUCUUUUAAAAUCCUUAGAAUUUGGUCUUUAGGUGAAGAAACCUAAAUUAUAUUGAUAGACAAGAAGACCCUAUCGAGCUUUAAAACAAUUAGUUAAACAAAUAGAUAACACUAACUUUAGCUAAAAAUUUUGGUUGGGGCGACUAAGGAACAAACAAAGCUUCCUUAAUAAAUUCUACACUAAUAAGUAAUGAUCCAAAAUAUUUGAUUAAUAAAAUUAGUUACCGUAGGGAUAACAGCAUAAUCUUCUUCAAGAGUUCUUAUCGAAAAGAAUGUUUGUGACCUCGAUGUUGGACUAGGAUAUCCAAAAGAUGCAGAAGUCUUUAAAGGUUGGUCUGUUCGACCAAUAAAAUCCUACGUGAUCUAUCU